UACAGAGGUCCCAAGCGUUGUUCGGAUUCAUUGGGCGUAAAGGGUGCGUAGGUGGUGUCGUAAGUCGGAUGUGAAAUCCCGGGGCUCAACCCCGGAACUGCAUUCGAUACUGCGAUGCUCGAGGGCUGGAGAGGAGAUUGGAAUUCACGGUGUAGCAGUGAAAUGCGUAGAUAUCGUGAGGAAGACCAGUGGCGAAGGCGAAUCUCUGGACAGUUCCUGACACUGAGGCACGAAGGCCAGGGGAGCAAACGGG
rnacentral:rRNA from 1 species